rnacentral:misc_RNA from 1 species
ACAACGAAACAUAUUUCGAUAGAGGCAAGAUGUCGGAAGCCACCCCUGCUAAAACUAGGACAGUUCUGAUAGCUAUUGACGGCAGUGAGCAUUCUAAAUACGCUUUUGAAUGGUACUGCAAGUCCAUGCAUCUUCCAACAGAUCACGUGGUCAUGAUCCACUCCGUGGAGUUCCACACUGUUCUACAGACCACGCAGUGGUAUUACAAUCAAUGGUUCUGUGAAGAGCAUCCAUGCAAAUCGACCGGGCGAGGGCAUAGUUAACGCCGCGCGGGAAGUGAACGCUGACGUCAUCAUUACUGGGUCACGUGGUACAGGCAAACUCAGACGGACAUUUCUGGGAAGUGUCAGUGACUACGUAUUACACCACUCUGACGUACCUGUAAUCGUGUGUCGUCAUAAAGACCUUCAUGAUAUGCAUCACCACCAUGAGGAUCAUCAUCAUUAAAAAAUUAAUGCAAAAUGAAGAACACAUAAAGUGUUUAAUAUUGUUGAAUACUCGGGCUUUGUAGAAGUUGUAAUCAUGUACUGUCGUGUGAGAGGAGAAGGUUGUUUAUAUGCAGAUGUUUUAUACCCAGUAUACGUAUAGUGUUCUAUAAUGUUCAUUGCUAUUUGUACACAAAACUUAAGGGUAAUUUGUUUGUUCUUUAUUAGUGUUCAUGAAGUGUUCCAAUAAUCGUGCACAAGUAAUUCGAAUCAUGAGUUUUUUUUAGUUUUUUAUUACGUAUCAGUUGUUAUUCUUGAGAUUAAAAUGCAAUAAAAAUACAAUAUAAAAAACAAAACG